ACGUAGGGCGCAAGCGUUGUCCGGAAUUAUUGGGCGUAAAGAGCUCGUAGGCGGUUAGUCGCGUCUGCUGUGAAAACCUGAGGCUCAACCUCGGGCUUGCAGUGGGUACGGGCUGACUAGAGUGCGGUAGGGGUGACUGGAAUUCCUGGUGUAGCGGUGGAAUGCGCAGAUAUCAGGAGGAACACCGAUGGCGAAGGCAGGUCACUGGGCCGCAACUGACGCUGAGGAGCGAAAGCAUGGGGAGCGAACAGGAUUAGAUACCCUGGUAGUCCAUGCCGUAAACGUUGGGCACUAGGUGUGGGGCUCAUUCCACGAGUUCCGUGCCGCAGCAAACGCAUUAAGUGCCCCGCCUGGGGAGUACGGCCGCAAGGCUA
rnacentral:rRNA from 1 species